GAUUGUGUUACCUAGGGAGAUCAUAUAUCCCUGUUUCCUUGCAGAUCCUUAGGAGAGGGUGAAGGAAGUCAAGCGUCCUCCUCUCUAGCGGUGAUCCACACAGUAGGGUUGCGACGACGCUCCUCAAAACUCCAGGCCUACUCUGAGGUGGAGAGGAAGAGGAGAAUAGGAAAGGCAAGCAAAGACUCUAGCCUAUGAGGCUGUGAAUCCCUCCUAUUUAUAGAGAUCCCAUGUCAAACCCUAAUGGGUCCUUCCCUAGUGGGUAUUGGAUCUGCAUCCAAUAAGACAAGG
rnacentral:lncRNA from 1 species